rnacentral:rRNA from 1 species
ACUAACAGGAUUCCCCUAGUAACUGCGAGUGAAGCGGGAAAAGCUCAAAUUUAAAAUCUGGCGGUCUUUGGCCGUCCGAGUUGUAAUCUAGAGAAGUAAUGCCCGUGCUGGACCGUGUAUAAGUCUCCUGGGAUGGGGCGUCAUAGAGGGUGAGAAUCCCGUCUUUGACACGGACUACCAGUGCAUUGUGGUAUGCUCUCAAAGAGUCGAGUUGUUUGGGAAUGCAGCUCAAAAUGGGUGGUAAAUUCCAUCUAAAGCUAAAUAUUGGCGAGAGACCGAUAGCGAACAAGUACCGUGAGGGAAAGAUGAAAAGAACUUUGGAAAGAGAGUUAAACAGUACGUGAAAUUGCUGAAAGGGAAACGCUUGAAGUCAGUCGCGUUGGCUGGGGAUCAGCCUUGCUUUUGCAUGGUGUACUUUCUGGUUGACGGGUCAGCAUCAAUUUUGACCACUGGAAAAGGGCCUGGGGAAUGUGGCAGCUUCGGCUGUGUUAUAGCCCCUGGUCACAUACAGCGGUUGGGAUUGAGGAACUCAGCACGCCGCAAGGCCGGGUUUCGACCACGUUCGUGCUUAGGAUGCUGGCAUAAUGGCUUUAAGCGACCCGUCUUGAAACACGGACCAAGGAGUCUAACAUGCCUGCGAGUAUUUGGGUGAAAAACCCGAGUGCGCAAUGAAAGUGAAAGUUGAGAUCCCUGUCGUGGGGAGCAUCGACGCCCGGACCAGAACUUUUGGGACGGAUCCGCGGUGGAGCAUGUAUGUUGGGACCCGAAAGAUGGUGAACUAUGCCUGAAUAGGGUGAAGCCAGAGGAAACUCUGGUGGAGGCUCGUAGCGAUUCUGACGUGCAAAUCGAUCGUCAAAUUUGGGUAUAGGGGCGAAAGACUAAUCG